UACGAAGGGGCGAGCGUUAUUCGGAAUCACUGGGCGUAAAGACGUGCGUAGGCUGCUUGGAAAGUUAGGAAGUGAAAGACCCACGGGCGUCAACCCUCGGAAUUGCUUUCUAAAACUACCAGGCUCGGAUUCGGGAGAGGAUAGCGGAAUUGUCAGUGUAGCAGUGAAAUGCGUAGAUAUUGACAGGAACACCAGUGGCGCAAGCGGCUAUCUGGACCGACAUCGACGCUGAGGC
rnacentral:rRNA from 1 species